rnacentral:rRNA from 1 species
GCAGCCGCGGUAAUUCCAGCUCCAAUAGCGUAUAUUAAAGUUGUUGCAGUUAAAAAGCUCGUAGUUGGAUUUCUGCCGAGGACGACCGGUCCGCCCUCUGGGUGCGUAUCUGGCUCGGCUUGGGCAUCUUCUUGGAGAACGUAUCUGCACUUGACUGUGUGGUGCGGUAUCCAGGACUUUUACUUUGAGGAGAUUAGAGUGUUUCAAGCAGGCACACGCCUUGAAUACAUUAGCAUGGAAUAGUAAGAUAGGACCUCGGUUCUAUUUUGUUGGUUUCUAGAGCUGAGGUAAUGAUUAAUAGGGAUAGUUGGGGGCAUUCGUAUUUAACUGUCAGAGGCGAAAUUCUUGGAUUUGUUAAAGACGGACCACUGCGAAAGCAUUUGCCAAGGAUGUUUUCAUUAAUCAAGAACGAAAGU